rnacentral:lncRNA from 1 species
UCUUUUCCCGCCUUUAUUUCAGCCACAUUCUCCCUGAGCAGAUGCCACACUCAGCUCCUAAGCAGAAGCGGGGGCUCAGAAGCAGCACCCAGCACCUAAGAGAAGGCCUGAAGCAGCGCUCAGCACCCAGGAGGCACUGUGUGCCCACUGAGUGCAAGAAGCAAUUGCCACCAGGACCAGCACCCCUGCCACCACCAAGCGUCCUCCGUCCAUCGCCCAUCUCCGCAUCACGGGCUGGGACACGCUGCUUUUUUGGCAAGCCGCUGUUCAGAAGACACUGUUCCUGAAUUCAGGGAAUCAAAAAAUAAAAAUAAAAAGAUCUGAGAACAACCGCUUUGACUUCUUAGCUCUGAUGAAGUGCAUUCGCCUUGACAGUGACAUAAAAUGUAACUUCAGGAAGCUUUUUUUGUUCUUCGUGCUUUUAUCUCAUUAAGGGUUGGAUGAGGCUUCCAAUUUCACAUCAUUAAAUUCAAGGUCUGAUCCAUCUAGUGGUGAGAAAGUCAUAACUUCUGUUAAAAGAAGUAUUUGUGUUCUCGAAAUAGUAUUGGCUUUAAUCUCCAUAUCAAAAUGAAAGGUCUGGGCUUGGAUGAGAAAUAGCUCUUGCUUUGGGGACAUUCUGAGCCAACCCUCAGGGGCAUUUAGUGGGAGGCUCCAGCGCUCCAUCUUCUGACUUGCAGGUUAAAAUCUCCCACUCCUGGACCAUCUGAUCAAAGGCACAGUUGCCAAGUCUUAAAGGUUCGUGGAAACACCUGUUUGCCCCCUUUAGCAACAGGCCCAUGGGUCUGGGGACAGGGCCAAGGGGUCGUUCCUCGGUUUCUGAGACCAUCUUGCCCCUUUGCUGGUGGGCGAUGCCCCAGAGGCGGCUGUGUGAGUGGUUAACACCAGACAAGCUGAGACCUGUUCUGGCUGGGACGCGGCCAUGCCUUCCACGAGGCUUUAUGUACCGACACCGCAGCCAGCUGCCCCAGAGGAGCUGCUUCCCGGCCGCUCUGACACUCCGAGCCUGCUGAGCGCAGCCUUCCGGCCAGGCUGCACUUCUCCGGGCCCUGCCUCAUUCACAGGGCAUCCUUGGCUGGCUUUCUCCUUUGGCGGCUGGGAAGGUUCUGAGGCUCUUCUGGCCUGCGGCUGUGAGAUUUCUACUUUCUUCCUGGGUGGGAAGAGCAGGCGGCCCUGAAGAGCCUGUCCAGGGGGUGCUGGGCUCCACCUGGGCAGGAAGGUGGUCCUGUGCCCAGAGACCAGGGAAGCCUGGGAGUGUGUCGUCCUAGAUGGGGGGGUGGGGAGACAACACCCGAAGAGCCUCCAGGGCUCCCUUUCUAGAAAGGGAAGCUGAGUCAGAGAGGGAAGGGGACUGCAAGUUAGAGACAGAGCAAGGAUCAGACGGGGGGGUUCCAGCUCCUGUCCCUCCACACUGGCCACAGCACAGGGGGGCCAGGUCCUUUUCCUCCCCCCAGCCCUCCCCCCACCUCGCAGGAGGAGCUCCCAGGAUUCUACUGCUUGGUGGCUGCCCCAGCAGACACCCCCCCAGGC